rnacentral:rRNA from 1 species
GACGAACGCUGGCGGCGUGCUUAACACAUGCAAGUCGAACGAAGAGCGAUGGAAGCUUGCCUCUAUCAAUCUUAGUGGCGAACGGGUGAGUAACGCGUAAUCAACCUGCCCUUCAGAGGGGGACAACAGUUGGAAACGACUGCUAAUACCGCAUACGAUCUAAUCUCGGCAUCGAGGAAAGAUGAAAGGUGGCCUCUAUUUAUAAGCUAUCACUGAAGGAGGGGAUUGCGUCUGAUUAGCUAGCUGGAGGGGGAACGGCCCACCAAGGCGAUGAUCAGUAGCAGGUCUGAGAGGAUGAACGGCCACACUGGGACUGAGACACGGCCCAGACUCCUACGGGAGGCAGCAGUGGGGAAUCUUCCGCAAUGGACGAAAGUCUGACGGAGCAACGCCGCGGGAGUGAUGACGGCCGUCGGGUUGUAAAGCUCUGUUAAUCGGGACGAAAGGCCUUCUUGCGAACAGUUAGAAGGAUUGACGGUACCGGAAGAGAAAGCCACGGCUAACUACGUG